rnacentral:rRNA from 1 species
GAUUASGGUUUCYUCGUGGCSAAKGGYGAGCGCUGGGGWRACCCCUUAUGCUCGCCCGGCGUCCGAAAGUUUUUAACUCCASUGGCGGACGGGUGACUACCAGCMAGUCAUUUGCCUUUAAGAGGGGGCCAACCGCUGGAAGCGGUUGCUGAKACCCCWWAUGCGUUCAAGUGAAAUGGAGUUCCGCCYAWGGASAUACUUGCGGCUGAUUAGCUUGUUGGUAGGGUAAUGGCCUACCAAGGCGACGAUCAGUAUCUGGUUUGAGAGGACGAUCAGACACACUGGAACUGAGACACGGUCCAGACUCCUACGGGAGGCAGCAGUAGGGAAUUUUCCGCAAUGGGCGAAAGCCUGACGGAGCAAUACCGCGUGAGGGAUGACUGCCUAUGGGUUGUAAACCUCUUUUUWCAGGGAGGAAUAAAUGACGUGUACCUGAAGAAUAAGCAUCGGCUAACUCCGUGCCAGCAGCCGCGGUAAGACGGAGGAUGCAAGUGUUAUCCGGAAUCACUGGGCGUAAAGCGUCUGUAGGUGGCUCGACAAGUCAACUGUUAAAUCUUGAAGCUCAACUUCAAAAUCGCAGUCGAAACUAUCGGACUAGAGUAUAGUAGAGGUAAAGGGAAUUUCCAGUGGAGCGGUGAAAUGCGUAGAGAUUGGAAAGAACACCGAUGGCGAAGGCACUUUACUGGGCUAUUACUGACACUCAGAGACGAAAGCUGGGGUAGCAAAUGGGAUUAGAUACCCCAGUAGUCCUAGCCGUAAACAAUGGAUACUAGGGUGUUGAACAGAUCGACCUGUGCAGUACCAAAGCUAACGCGUUAAGUAUCCCGCCUGGGAAGUAUGCACGCAAGUGUGAAACUCAAAGGAAUUGACGGGGGCCCGCACAAGCGGUGGAGCAUGUGGUUUAAUUCGAUGCACGCGAGGACCUUACCAGGUUUGACAUGAUACGAAUUUUUUUGAAGAAAAAGUGCAUUGGACGUAUAMCCAGGUGGUGCAUGCUGUCGUCAGCUCGWGUCAUGAGAAUGUUGGCUAAGUCGCACGAGCGCACCCUUAUUUUUAGUGCCUUGAACYUAAAAGACUGCGUUAAACCGAGAGCGGAUGACUCAGUCRCAUGCCGUUACCCGUGGCCUACCACGUGUCUACCAUKAACG